GCCAAUACUAGCCCUAAGCAUAACCAACACUAAUACCAAACCAACAUGCACUAAACCAUUCACCUACACAAAGUAUAGGCGAUAGAAAUUUUAAUCCGGCGCUAUAGACGCAGUACCGUAAGGGAAAGAUAAAAACCACCCAAGCACAAAACAGCAAGGACUAACUCCUGUACCUUUCGCAUAAUGAAUUAGCUAGAAACAAUUUCACAAAGAGAACUAUAAGCCAAAUUCCCCGAAACCAGACGAGCUACCCAAAAACAGCUAAAAGAGCGCACCCAUCUAUGUGGCAAAAUAGUGGGAAGAUUUCUGGGUAGAGGUGACAAGCCUACCGAGCCUGGUGAUAGCUGGUUAUCCAAGACAGAAUCUUAGUUCAACCUUAAGCUUACCUAUAGAACCACCUAAUCCCCCUGUAAACUUAAUUGCUAGUCUAAAGAGGGACAGCUCUUUAGACACUAGGAAAAAACCUUAUGGAGAGAGUAAAACCCUCAAUUACCAUAGUUGGCUUAAAAGCAGCCAUCAAUUAAGAAAGCGUUCAAGCUCAACACCAACCACCCCAAAAAUACCAAACACAUAACUGAACUCCUCACACCACAUUGGAUUAAUCUAUCACCAUAUAGAAGCAAUAAUGCUAGUAUAAGUAACAUGAAUAUUUUCUCCACUGCAUAAGCCCAAAUCGGAUCGAAAACCUCACCGAUACCUAACAGCCAGGCAUAGCAAGCACAAACAAGCCCAUGCUACCUUCACUGUUAACCCAACACAGGUAUGCCUCAAGGAAAGGUUAAAAAAAGUAAAAGGAACUCGGCAAACUUAAACCCCGCCUGUUUACCAAAAACAUCACCUCUAGCAUUACUAGUAUUAGAGGCACUGCCUGCCCAGUGACACACGUUUAACGGCCG
rnacentral:rRNA from 1 species